rnacentral:rRNA from 1 species
UCCAGACUCCUACGGGAGGCAGCAGUGGGGGAUAUUGCACAAUGGGGGAAACCCUGAUGCAGCGACGCCGCGUGGGCGAAGAAGUAUUUCGGUAUGUAAAGCCCUCUCAGCAGGGAAGAAGAAAUGACGGUACCUGAGUAAGAAGCACCGGCUAAAUACGUGCCAGCAGCCGCGGUAAUACGUAUGGUGCAAGCGUUAUCCGGAUUUACUGGGUGUAAAGGGAGCGCAGGCGGCACGGCAAGCCUGAUGUGAAAGCCCGCGGCCCAACCGCGGGACUGCUCUUGGAACUGCGUGGCUGGAGUGCAGGAGGGGCAGGCGGAAUUCCUGGUGUAGCGGUGAAAUGCGUAGAUAUUAGGAGGAACACCAGUGGCGAAGGCGGCUUACUGGACUGUAACUGACGUUGAGGCUCGAAAGCGUGGGGAGCAAACAGGAUUAGAUACCCGGGUAA